CCUGCGUGUUCUAAUGAUCAUCCUCAAAUAUGUUACCCGUAAAUUACAAAAUCUUGCACAAAGUUCUUUCACUACUUCAAUUUCAAGAGGAAAGAGAUAAAUACAGUCUCAAAUUAUCUAAUUUUGUUCGUUGAAUAAAAAAUUGGGGUAUUUUUUUGCUCAUUUUCCAACUAUCCGUCACGCGAUUCACGCAUCAAUUGUUCUUGAGGACUUAGUGAGUGCAGUACAGCAGUUGGCCAGUUGUACUAUCAGUGAUGAAUAUUGAAGAGAAUGAGGCAGGGAUAUGGGAGAAUUGCAUGGCUUUUGCACAAAGAUGAUGCAAAAAACUUGAAAAAUAGUUUAGAAUAUCAGAUAUUGGUCCCUCCUUGUCUGUCCUCUUUUGGUAGAAUACUUAUUGUGACAAAUAUCAACUGAAUUGGACAGGGGCCGCGCGAACGCAGGCCCCCACUAUUACAAAUUAUGACGUACACUCUUCCUCUUGGGAAGAUGUUAGGCAGGCACCCCUCCAAAGUGCAAUGGAGGCCACCUACCUAGGCCAUGAGCCUAGUUGAUCGCACAUUGACCUCGUCCAGUGUAAGCAGGCUAUAAAGUUUCAGUAACUUACAUUCAAGUUUGGAUAUGGAAUUGGUUAGAGGUAGCGCGGACGCAGACCCCCACUGUCACAAAUCAUGACAUACACUCUUCCUCUUUGGGAAGAUGUUAAGCAGGCACCCCUCCUAAGUGCAAUGGAGGCCACCUACCUAGGCCAUGAGGCUUCUUGAUCACCCAUUGACCCUGUCCAGGUAAGUAUGUUUCCCAGUAUUCCACCCUAUCAAUUUAUGCCUAUGUUGCUAUUCUCACUUUUGUUUGUAUUGAUGUGGGACAAUAACCAAAUAUCCUAAGAAGUUUCUCCGAAUGUAACAAUCUAAUAGGUUGUAGUUUAUAUUUCACUUUAUGUGAUGAUAUAGGGUCAUCGAUUCUCAUACUGUAAGCUCUAAGCAGAAUCAUCUCCUAAUACUCAAUUAUCAUAUUUUGUUGUCAUGCUUUCUUUCAAGAAAGAAACUUUGCUAGUUGGUCUCGGUGGAACUUAAUCUUGCAUUUGAGAACAAUUUUAUGUAAGAAGUCAAGAAGGUGCUGUUAGUAUUAAAUUUUUCUGACAUGACCAUAUAGACAUUGUUGUAAUUAACUUCCUUGAUAGGAUUUAUACAGCAGAAAAUAAAGGAAGAAGAAGUUGAAUUUAAUUGAUAUAGAAAAUGUAAAUGAUGUUCAAUCUUUUGAGAGUCUUGAUUAGUUGAUUCUCUCCCUCUAAAAUUCCAUUAAGGCUCCCUCAAAAAUAAUUAAGUUAAGGCAGCUAAAAAACCUACUAAGGCAAACAUCGGAAAGGGAAUACAGAGUAUUGUUUUACGCAUAUAGGGAAUAUUAUUGCUUGAAUCCCCCUGUACCUAACAUCCCCUUAGUACUUAGGGUAGAUUUUGUUAAAUAUCAUAAAGGUAUUCAUUUUGUAGCUGAUUAGUUCUUCUGAUAUUGUUCAGCUAAACGCUUGUUUUGGAACAUCUCAAUUUAAGAGUCCCCCAUCCCGUAUGAUUUAUCUUUAUUCCCUUUAGAUUUUGGGCAUGAGAAGGUAUUUCGGUGGUUUUUGAGUUGGGUGGAUAGCUAUGGUGGUUUGCCGGAUGGCCAUAGUACAUAAAAUUAAGAAGUGGUACAUAAGGUGUUUGUGAUGGAAUAUGUGGUUAUACACCGCAAGUUACAUCUGCGAGACAGUGUUGCAUUAACGCUGACUAAUAGUAAUGGGGUGGAAAAUUGAUUUGUCAAUCCAGAUGGUUUUUAUGUUGUGUGGUCAAUCACGGUUCGAGGGUUAGUAGUCUGUAUGUUGUAUGUAUCUUUGUCCAGUGGGCUGUAGUAAGGUCUGGGAAAAGUGGAGAACAUAUGUUGUUCGAACUCCAUCCCAUAUUUAUGUUUUGGUUAGGUUUUGUUUCCCGUGGUGUUGCAGGAGGAGUGUUCCUCACUGCUGAUACUCGAGAAUAGAAGAUAGAAUUUAGGGAGAAAAGAAAUCAGACUUUAGAAAAAUAGAGAGAGAAAGAGAUUAGGAGAAUUUUGUAGAAUUUUAUUCAUAAUUAUCCAAAUGAUCAAUUGUCAUAUUUAUAUUACAAGUCUAAACUGAUCACAAAAGUUGAAUCACAAUUCAACUACUAACUGAAUUCUGUUACAAAAAUAACAGAAUGAAUUUGGCGCCAAAAGUCAACAGAAGUCAAAUGUUGACUUUUCUGUUAUUGACUAAUACUCCCUUAACAUUCCUCCCUGCUUAAAGAAACUUGUCCCAAGUUUCAUGGCACCACAAAAUGAGGAUAUUUUGACUCAAAUUCUGUAGCUACCUCCCAUGUUGCAUCACAUGAAGGGGCUUCAGCCCACUGAACCAGAUACUGUACUUGGGCAUGGUUCUGAAAUUUAACCACCCUCUUUUCAAAUGUUGACUUAAGCUAGAUGCACUUCAAUCUAAAACGAGAUUUCUGAUGUAAUCCACUAAUCCUUCAAUAUUUGAAUGGAGCAUGUAGUACUUGAUCCCAAGUCUAUCUUAAACUAAUCCAAUUACUUAAUAAGAUCUGUUUAGUCCUUUCUUUUUAAGUUGUAUUUAUUUCGGGAGUACUCAUUGUGAGGAUUGGUGUGUAUGUUAAGCGAAGCAAGAUUUGCGACUGUAUUUUCAGAAUUGGAGUCAUUACUCAUAUACUUGUUCCACUCUUAUUUAGUUCACACAUUUCUUUAGUCACGUUUCCCAAUGCACAUUUUUUAUCACUAAUAUCUAUCAUUAUGUGAAAGAUAAAAUUAUAAAAAGUUGAUAUUUUGAAAAUAUGUAUCAAAACGAGUUUAACAAUAUCACACAUGACUAUAUUUUACCUUGCGCAUAAAUAACAAAUUCCGGUCAAAGGAUGGUGUUUGAAUAGUUCUAAAGUCAAACUGUGUCAACUAAAUAAGAAUGGAGGAAAUCUUUGUGUACUUUUUAGUCUUGAUAGUUUGACCAUGCUAUUAUUGGAACUUACUACUCAUACGUAACUAUGAUUUUUAGGCUUUUGGGUUAUUCAAUUUUUUCAUUUAGGUCUUAACUAGUGUAUGCCCGUGCAUUAGCACGUGAUAUAUAAAAUAAAGAUUGUUAAUUAACUAAUCUUAUAGAAAAGGGAAGGAUUAAUAAUAAUAUUUGCAUCUAUCAAAACUAUGUUUAUCUAUGGAAUACUUUUCGCUAGUGUCUUGAUGUUCAUUUUUUUUUAACUUGCUAAAUCUUCACGUAACAAAAAAAAAUAUGUGUCCUUUAUCAGAGAAUGGUGUCUAGAAUUAAAUUCUCAUAAUAGGUGUACGGAUCCCCUAUUAAUUUAUCAUUGUUGGAAUCUACAAAAUUUUUCAAAUUGAGAAAAAGGUUGCAAAGAUGAAUAUAGAUGAGAGCCUCGUCAUAUCAUUGAUAGUCAUAUCCUAGUGCAGUAGUGUUAAUUCAAAAUAAUGGUACACAUAUUAACAUGAAAUAAAUAACUGAAGAAAAGCCCAUAUACAAGAUUCCACAAAAUUUGUUAAUUAAUUAAACUCAACAUGAGUAUAUCUUAAAUAUUCGCACAAUAAAAAGUACUAUUUAGUAGUUGGUGUGAGCAUUCGUGUCUCCGCAAAGUAGCAAAGGUCGAAUCUUCAUACCCUUGAACAUUUAACUGCAACUCUAGCUCUUAAUAAUUUGAUCAUCAAUUACAGAUGCAAUUGACAAAUGUUUUAUACUUCAAGUUGAGUACCGAAAUUAUCACAAGUCAUGCAAGAAAUUACUAUCUAAGUUGUGAUAUUGUUAAAAAUCAGAACAAACAAUAGAGAAAGAAGUGAAUAAACAAAAUCAUUACCCCGAAGUAACCCAACUAAUGAAUAAUUUAACCACCUCAUUUGAUAUAUAUACCUACGCAUAUAUAUUCCAUCGUGUGACUAAACAUAACAUGAUUAAAGAUCAAAUAUACACAUUUAAGGUAAAGUUAUUUCAUAGUAGUUCAAAGACAAAUCAUGAACGUUCUUCAAAAUCAUUAGAUAUGGUGGCCAAAUCCUUAUGUUUUCAAGUUGAAUAUAAGCAUUUCAUGAUAAUCCUCUCAAUAAUGGCAACAUUUCCUUUUCAUAUGUCUAUCAUGCAAGAGGCACACAGUAACCAACUAACCAUGCAAAAUAUUCAAGGAAAACUACCGCCGAAACUGUCGCUCGACCUUUUCCAUGUGGGUCAUGUAGUAAGGUUUUUAUAACAUAAUAGUAGUUCGUAUUAAUGAAUAUGGAAGAUUGAAUCAAGAUUAAGAAGUAUGAUUCUCAAAUAGAGUGAAGAUUAGAAAGAAAUAUAGAAGAAAAAAAACAAUUAUAUUUCAUAAAACAUAAGUAAACAUAAAAUUCCUCCUUACUUGAUUCCAUCUCUUGUUGUUUGCUCAUACUUAAGAUUUGAAGCACUCCUUCUGCACGACCCUAACUCAAAUAAAUAAACAAACAUAGAGCACAACAAACAUAGAGCACAACAAACUAUUUAAUCAACAUUAAAGAAAAGGGUGGUACAUUAGUUUAGAGAACAAUAUGAUUUUGGGCGUUGGUGGCAAAUUGGAAUUAACCCAGACGUACAUUCCACUAAGGAAAGAUUUGAUAGAAGUGUAGUACCACUUAUGCGCUUGUAUUGAAGAUGGAAGAAAACCAUAAACUAAAUACAACCAAACCCCGAAACAAAACCAACAUAUAACUUAUUAAGCAAAUAACUUAUGUUAUCAUCCCCGUAAAAAAAAACCUUAUGUUAACCUCAAUAGACAAACGUAAAUCAAUAGAAAUUAACGAAGACAUUGCACUGAUGUUGAUCCAAAGAUGCAAUGUAGGGCUUGUGUUUGUUGUUUGCAUGUUAGUGCUAUUUCAAGUGAUUAGACCAAGGUGGUAGUUGGAAGUGAUUGCGUGUCAUGGGCUCAUGGAAUUUGUGGGUUCCUAGGUAUGAUAGAGAAGUUGGCUUUCCAUUUAUGGGUUGAGACUUGAGAGAGAAGAUAAGUCGGUUUUUUGUUUCUUUAAAACUGAUUUUUAGAGUGUUUAAAAUUUGAAAUCUAGAGGUAUAAAUGGGUUUGUGGAGGGAGUGAAUGAGAAUGCUUAGAUGAGGUUUUGAAGGUCUCUCAUUAAAAUUGACAUUCUUAUUAUCAUAUAGGAUUUGGCAAAACUAGCAGGUAGCGUUUAGCGGUGGAGUAGCGGGUAGUUGUUGGAGUAGCGGGAAGCGGUCAAUAGUAGCGGAUUAGCGGGUAACGAUUAGAUGUCAAAGUAGCGGGUAACUAGUAUGAGUGUUUGGUACAAGUAGCGAUUCAGAUUGUAAAAUACAAUAAAAGCUUUAUAUAUAUAUUGUUUAAAACUUUAUUAUAAUUUUAUCAAAUGCUACUCGUUAUUUUCAAACGCUACUAUUUUUGACAUUUGACAAAAGCUACCCAACCCGCUAGCCGCUAACUCACAUGCUACCUCACCAAACACUUGCAAAUUUUACAAGCAGCGUUUUGAAUAGGUCAAAACGCUACCCGCUACCUCAAACGCUACCGCCGAACACGCCCUUUCAAUUUCCCGAGUUUGGGCACUCUGACAUGGAUACAACUUUAUGGACAGUUGGGCACUUGUCACUUCUUUUUUGGGUUAAAACACUAUAUAUUUUAAUUAUUUAGCUGGUCGGACACUUCUCUUUAGCAUCUUAGUAAGUGCAGGGAACGAGGGACUAAGAGGAUAUCCUUGAUUUACUUUCUUAAACCUUCAUCCUUUUGAAAUCUUGUUGUUCAAAUAUUUGGUCUUUAAUAAAUUCAGUAAUUGACCCUUGUGAUAUGCCAAUUAGGGGUCCACAUCAUGUUAGUGUUUGAUCAUUUCCUGUACCUUUGCUGUGUAUUUGCUCAAUUGUGGUGUCUUGUGAUUCUUGAGCAGUUGAGCGUAGGAUAUAAGCGUUGACUUACAAGUGUGUAACUAGGAGAGUUGCAUCAAUAUAUUUCUUGCUGGGCAAUGUUCAGAUAAUUUUCAUGCUUUUAGGUUUUCCUUAUUUUACAAGAAGCACAUUCGCUGAAUCACUGAUUCUAGAUUUGAGUAUAAGAUUAAGAUGUAAUAGAAAAGUAAGCUAGGUGGUUCCAAUGAGAUUUGGCAAGAUGUAUCCCUGACAUCUGUUAUUGUUGUUAUUCUGUUUUACUAAUGACUACUCCGUAUUAGGUUAUUGGAGUCUUGGACAUCUGUUUGUUUUUCUGGUUGCAGCCGCUAAAUUUCUCAGUCCCACAUUGGAAAGGUUUGAAUAAUUUUCUCCCUAUAUUAAGUUCUGGCUUCCUCUAAGUAUUGUCUCUUCGGAGACAUCUGAUAAAAUUGGAACGAUACAGAGAAGAUUAGCAUGGCCCCUGCGCACGGAUGACACGCACAAAUCGAGAAAUGGUCCAAUUUUUUUGGUCUUUUCAGUCUUUUUGGCUUAUGGAACUCACACCUUUAUGGCUUUCUCAAUCUUUUGGCUAUGAUCAAGUAUAGUAUUUGUUCUUAUCAGCUUGAUAUUUGAUGAUUGGGUCUCUCACUCAUAAUGAUACUAAAUUCAUUUUUUAGAGGAGGAUAUUUCCGGAUACUGGGAUCCUCAAGUCUGUCGUAUAGCCUGGCAUGCCCCACCAAAUCCAUACGAAUAUUUUAAAGCACGAAAUAUCAUGAUACCAUGUGUCAUUCCAUUGUUUGUAUAAAAAAAAGUUUAAAAAAAAAACAUCAUGCAUUGCCCUCUCUAUUCUUCUUAUCUAUCAUUUCCUCUUCCCCUUCUUAGAAAUUGAUUUUAUUUGUUUCACAUUCAAAUUUCAAUUUUGUCACACUUUAAAUCAUCAAUUAUGUUGUUUCAAAAUUUUCGUAUCCUCUCCUGGAUUACAUAGAUAACAUAAUCAUAUAUGAGUAUGACUAGUGUGUUUAUUUAUACUUGUACUAGAAUGGGAUGACAGUAUGCUUAAUAAGAAAUGUGCCAUUACAGGGUCCGUGACUUAAAUUUCUACUACAUCAAGUAUAAGAUAGAUUGGUCCCACAAAAACAUAUGAGGCUAAAGAAUUCACCCUAAGUGCUACUAAAGGCACCAUAUAUGAGGUUAAAUGCCAGGAUUGGCAGGGUGUCCUAAGUCUACUAUCUGAUGAUCUGAUUAACUAGGGUGAAUUCGUUGUAUUCUUAAUCUUGAGCGUUGAUUUAGUAAAUGGGGAGGAUCUUUAAUAUACUAUCAGCUCCUUUCUUUCUCUUUUGGGCUAUCUGAAACUUGAUAGCAAAUUACUCCUAUUUCUUAGGCAUAUAAUGCAGUAAGUCUUGAAUUCCUGGUAAAGGCAGGAGCCGAGUUCGCCGAGAUAAGUUCGCUAAGAUUUGGCUGCAAACAUCCCUUAGUGUGGCAAAUAAAUAUCUGAUCGCCCACUUUAGACUUGCAGCAGUUUUACUUCUGACUUUCUGAGUUCUGAUUAUGUCUAUUUAUCUGACCACAUACUGUAAUUCUCUUCAGGCAGCAGUAGAAGAUUUCCGGAGUAGGUGAUCCCACACUGAAUGGCUGAAGAAUGAGGUCGGAAAGAGAAAGAGUGCCAAACAACAACUGUUCAAGUACAACCCUUAUCAAGACCAAUCUGGGGAGGUUCCAAUUACAUUAUGGGAAAUCUUCUGCAGUUAGUCACCCACAUUGGCAGGUCAAAUAAAGGGCUGAAAUGACCAGAAAAUAAGUAGAGGUCCAGCACGUCAAAUGGCGAUCAUCUAUACUUAAAAAGUGCCAAAAUUUGAAGAUAUUAAGUCAGGCGGGACACUAGUUAUCAUCCACGUAUCAUAUUUUGACUGUCUCACUUGGAGAAGUGAUAGUUGAAGCUGGAAUGUCCGGAAAGAUAGAGGUAUGUAAGUUCUGUAUGAAGCACACUUACCUGGUUUUCUCAUUGGCCUGGCUAUACAAUCAAGUGUAGUAAUUGUUAUUCUGUAUCAGUUUAAUAUGUGUGUUGUCACAGUUAUAAUUACAUAAAUUGUUAAACUAUUUCAUGGGCUUGGUUGACCCCUUCUAAGUCAGGCACCGUCUGAUGUUAGAAGUGAAUUUCUUGGUGGUCUUUUGUAGGCCUAUGUCAUUUGAUGUGUAUGUUGUAUUCAACUGUGUUAGUUGACGGGGAUCACGAAAUACUUAAUGUCCUAAGUUGGAGUACUUAACAACUUUCACAGUGAAAACAUGUACACAACAAAGAGCUUCGAACUGCUUCAAACAGUUUUAACAAGGUCAAAUAGUUAUCGCAAGCUAAGUAUAAUAACAAGAGUUAUCUGAUUCCAGAAUUGUGAAUCUUUUGGCUGAACUUCCUUCUGCGAUGAUCCAACUUUUCUUGCUGUAUUUCGUCUAAUUGGUUCUGACGCCAGUCGCAAAAACCAUGUCCUUAGAAACCCUAGCUUCAUUGCAGAACCUCAAAGUUACCUAUUCCUGGUUAGUGACAAAUCAGAGAAUUUUCAGAAUGCGUAAGGAUAGCUUGGAAUGGGCGCUUAAUCUUGUCGAUGUCUUUAGUGGGUGGUUUAUUGAAAGAUUUGGUAACCUGAGUUCUUGUGGGGUUUGCAAAUUAUCAAGUUCUUGAGGAUUGAAUACUUGCAUAUUGUUGUAAAACUGCAGUAAUGAACAAUCUUUUGGGGGACAAACCAAAAUGGCGGGGCAAAUAAAAAGAGAUGGAGAGAGUAGCACUUUCAUGUUCCUUUUUAUUUUCCUUAUCCAUUUUCAUCCAACACCAUUGCCAUUGCUGUAUCCAUUAAAAUUGAGAAAACUAUGAUGAAAUUAGAUAGGGGCCGCGCGAACGCAGGCCCCUACUAUCACAAAUUAUGACAUACACUCUUCCUCUUGGGAAGAUGUUAGGCAGGCACCCCUCCUAAUGUGCAAUGGAGGCCACCUACCUAGGACAUGGGCCUUCUUGAUCGCCCAUUGACCCCGUCCAGAUUUAUGCGGGAUCGAAGAGGAUGUCAAUCUUUCGACUACAAUCAGACGAAUCAGACGGAAAUCAUAUUUAUCACGGCUACAACAGAUCUAAAGACCCCCUCGUCAAUGAAGGAUGUAAAUCAUAGCGAUAUAAAAGAGGGCAUACAGAAUGUUUGAUAUACUACGAUCGUAGCUAUGGUGAAAGGAAGUUUUUAUUUGAUUCGAUUGUUAUGUAUUUGUUAGAUUUAAAUCUUUAUGUAGAUGUCGUAUGUUAUCAAUGAAUUAAUUUGUUUAUCAAAAAAAAAACAAAAAACUAUUGCCAUUCGA